rnacentral:lncRNA from 1 species
CCUGCUUUGGUCAAAGACUUUCAGAAUCACCAUCCUAUGACAUCGCAUAGGAUGUUCGCUCCCCUUAUUAAGAGUGACUGAUCCCUUUUUGAUCACUCAUAACCUCCAUGCACACUUCAUCAUAUCCAGAAGACUCCACACAAGGAUCAGAGAAUCAAGUUAGAUAGUGAACUAAAAUAUGGAUCCAUGUACACAAGGUACCAUUGUGACCUCAGGUCAAAAGAUCACUUACAUAACUCUCACUAGAGAAUUAUCAGUUGACAUAUAAAUAAGACUCCAUCUGAUUAUUCUC